rnacentral:rRNA from 1 species
CCUACGGGUGACUGCAGUAGGGAAUCUUGCGCAAUGGGGGAAACCCUGAUGCAGCAACGCCGCGUGAGUGAAGAAGUCCUUCGUUAUGUAAAGCUCUAUCAGCAGGGAAGAAACUGACGGUUCCUCAGUGAGAAACCCCGGCUAACUACGUGCCAGCAGCCGCGGUAAUACGUAGGGGUCAAACGUUAUCCGGAUUUACUGUGGGGAAAGGGAGCGUAGACGGCAGUGCAAGUCUGGAGUGAAAGGCGGGGGCUCAACCCCCGGACGGCACUGGAAACUGUCCGGCUGGAGUGCAGGAGAGGUAAGUGGAAUUCCUAGUGUAGCGGUGAAAUGCGUAGAUAUCAGGAGGAACAUCAGUGGCGAAGGCGCUUUACUGGACCGUAAUUGACGCUGAGGCACGAAAGCGAGGGGAGCAAAUAGGAUUAGAUACCCUUGUAGUC